GAAAACCCUCCCUCCCAAAAAUAAUUAGAGAAAACCCCCUUACCUAAUAUUCUACCCAAAUAUUAUUUAAUAAUUCCCAAACCACCCUUAUUACCCUAACCCAUUGCCUGCCGUUCUCUCUUCUUCUUUUGUCGUUCCUCUUCUCGUCUUCUCACUUUUCUCUUCUCUUGGCAAUUACCUCCGCCAUGGAUUAUCGGUUAGAGGAAGAUGCCUUUGUAUUCGUCACCCAACUGGCCAUGGAGGUGGUGUUCUUCGGAUCUGGCUACAAGCGGCGGCCGAAAUCUUCAGAUCUGAAAUCUCCGGCGAUCUGGUGGACGGAAUCUGAGGAGGAGGAGGGGAAAUCGUCUGCGGCGGAGUGCAUAUCGGUAUGUUUUCGGGAACUUUGAGCUCCGUUUCUUCCUUGUCUCUCUUCUGAGCCAUAGAUUCGGCCGGGAUGAAAGGUGUUCUAGAAUAUAGAAGUGGGAUGGUGAUGCUGUGGUGUGGCGACGAUGUGGUGACGAUGAAGAACAGAUCUAGGGUUUUUUUGGUGGAUUGUGGCGGAAGACGGCGCAGAAAAAAAAAUUCGCGCAUCAGGGCCCUUAAUCGACUACGUGGUUUAAUCGACUAUGUUCAAUAGUCGAUUAAGGCUUAAUCGACUAUGUUCAAUAGUCGAUUAACGCUUAAUCGACUAUGUUCAGUAGUCGAUUAAGGUUAACC
rnacentral:lncRNA from 1 species